rnacentral:rRNA from 1 species
CCUACGGGUGGCAGCAGUAGGGAAUAUUGGGCAAUGGGGGAAACCCUGACGCAGCAACGCCGCGUGGAGGAUGAAGGUUUUCGGAUUGUAAACUCCUUUUGUCAGAGACGAUAUUGAUGGUGUUUCAUGAAUAAUCAGCGACUACCUCCGAGCCAGCAGCCGCGGUAAUACGGAGGGGGCAAGCGUUAGUCGGAUUCACUGGGCGUAAAGAGCGCGUAGGCGGGAUAGCAAGUCAGAUGUGAAAUCCUAUGGCUUAACCAUCGGACUGCAUUUGAAACUGUUAUUCUAGAGUAUUGGAGAGGUAGGUGGAAUUCUUGGUGUAGGGGUAAAAUCCGUAGAGAUUAAGAGGAAUACUCGUGGCGAAGGCGAUCUGCUAGACCAUAACUGACGCUGAUGCGCGAAAGCGUGGGGAGCAAACAGGAUUAGAUACCCGGGUAGUC